rnacentral:rRNA from 1 species
ACGCUGGCGGCGUGCUUAACACAUGCAAGUCGAACGAAAAUACCAAGCUUGCUUGGUUGAUUAGUGGCGAACGGGUGAGUAACACGUGAGUAACCUGCCCCUUACUUUCCUGGAUAACUGCUCGAAAGGGUAGCUAAUACGGGAUAUUCUGACCAUCCUGCAUGGGUUGGUUUGGAAAGGUUGUUUUUCUGGUAAGGGAUGGGCUCGCGGCCUAUCAGCUUGUUGGUGGGGUGACGGCCUACCAAGGCUUUGACGGGUAGCCGGCCUGAGAGGGUGGACGGUCACACUGGGACUGAGAUACGGCCCAGACUCCUACGGGAGGCAGCAGUGGGGAAUAUUGCACAAUGGGCGCAAGCCUGAUGCAGCGACGCCGCGUGAGGGAUGAAGGCCUUCGGGUUGUAAACCUCUUUCGUCAGGGAACAAGGCACUGCUUUGGUGGUGUUGAGGGUACCUGGAUAAGAAGCGCCGGCUAACUACGUGCCAGCAGCCGCGGUAAUACGUAGGGCGCAAGCGUUGUCCGGAAUUAUUGGGCGUAAAGAGCUCGUAGGCGGCUGGUCGCGUCUGUCGUGAAAACUUCCGGCUCAACCGGGGGCUUGCGGUGGGUACGGGCCGGCUAGAGUGCGGUAGGGGUAACUGGAACUCCUGGUGUAGCGGUGGAAUGCGCAGAUAUCAGGAAGAACACCGAUGGCGAAGGCAGGUUACUGGGCCGUUACUGACGCUGAGGAGCGAAAGCGUGGGGAGCGAACAGGAUUAGAUACCCUGGUAGUCCACGCCGUAAACGUUGGGCACUAGGUGUGAGGCUCCUUUCCGGGGGUUUUGCGCCGUAGCUAACGCAUUAAGUGCCCCGCCUGGGGAGUACGGCCGCAAGGCUAAAACUCAAAGGAAUUGACGGGGGCCCGCA